CAGAUUGGAGCCUGGUGCAGCCAUCUGGUUCGCCAGUCCUCAGUCAAAUCGUCCAACCCAUGCUAGCAUGGAAAGUGGGCAUUAAAUGAUGAUUUUACACACACACCCAUGCUCAGCCCCAUGACUUCGGGCCUCAGGCAAAUAUUCUCCUCACCAUUCUUUAAUUUCUGCUAUUUAUAACUUACCACAGCUGAGAUGUGAAACUGAGUUAAGGCCUUUUUUUACAGUCGGUUUUUCUCUGAUGAUCCUUAUUAUUAAAAUUCUGGUCUUGUGUCACCUUUUAUAGAGCCUUAUCUGCACUUCUGCAAGCUUUUCAGUGGUCUGCAUUCUCUUCAUUGAUAUUCUCAGCCAGAUAUUACUGGAAUCAGCAGUCAUUGCAACUUUGGACAGUACAAUGAAAACUGUUUACAUGCAGUCAUUGUCCUGUCUCACAGAUUUUAAUGCAAUUAGAUAAGACCCUAGCUUCCCAGAUAUCUCUCUUUCUCAUCUGUAUCAGCCGAUUCUGGUUAUUGAAAUGAGAAUGUUAGCAAGUCCUAUUAUCCUAAAAUACUUGUAUGUUUCUGUUUAACAUACAGGCUUCUCUUUACUUUUGACUUAUAUUUGUACAACUUUGCUCAAAUAUCCAAUGCAUUGUUAGACUUCCUCCUUGUGGUUAAAGUGAGGUCAUCUGAUGUAAAUAAGACACCCAGCUUCCCCUAACUGCUAAUAUUCCAGAAGCUUGCAUAUUUUCAUAAGUUUUUGCCCUUAUAUCUUCUAUUGGAAUUUCAAUAAGUUACAUACAUUGAAUGGCAUGAUGACUACAUUUUAUUAUUGGUUAGAAUGAAUGCCAUUUCAGUUGAUGCAGUUUAAUUAAACUUUAGGGUUAAUUUAGCAAUAGUACGGAGUGGUUGGCGUUAGGAAGGGCAUCCAGCUGUAGAAACACUGCCAGAUAAGACUGGAGCCUGGUGCAGCCUUCUGGCUUCCCAGAUCCCCAGUCGAACCGUCCAACCCAUGCUAGCAUGGAGAACGGACGUUAAAUGAUGAUGAUGAUGUGGAAGGUGUUGAAUGCAGCUGAGUAAUAAGUAGGGAUAUGGUUGCUGUAGCUACAGAAAAUUUUGAGGUUAAGACAAUAUUCUAUAAUACUAUUGUUAUUGUUGCAUACAUAGCCAUCUGUACACUGCAGACC